rnacentral:rRNA from 1 species
GACGUAGGGGGCGAGCGUUGUCCGGAUUCAUUGGGCGUAAAGCGCGCGCAGGCGGCCCGGUAAGUCGGAUGUGAAAUCCCACGGCUCAACCGUGGAACUGCAUUCGAUACUGUCGGGCUAGAGGCAGGUAGGGGAGAUCGGAAUUCCUGGUGUAGCGGUGAAAUGCGCAGAUAUCAGGAGGAACACCGGUGGCGAAGGCGGGUCUCUGGACCGACACUGACGCUGAGGCGCGAAAGCGUGGGGAGCAAACAGG